UCGCUCUUGAGUCAUAUUCUUUCAUUACAUGAAAGGCACUUAAUUUUUGGUUAAAAAAAAGAGAGGUAGAAAGAAAGAAAAGACACACACACACAAAUCAGCCUCGAAGAUUCUCAUUCCAGCGUCCUGUGCCUCAAAUAUCUCUCGAAACGGCAGCCAUGAAGAUGUGCUAUCAUGUUAUCAGAUGCUUUCACAUGGGACUCUCAGGCCUGGACAGAGGCGACACUGACGUGGAUAAAAGAUUCGGAUAAUAGCAACCCUGAUGAUGACAACAGCACGGAAUGUGACUACCUGUCACAGAGGAUAGAAGCCACCCCUGAGCAGGGGACGCACCUGCAGAGCCCAGGGAGGUGGCAUGCCCUGAGACUGCCAUUGGAAUCGCCACGCUGGCACGACCCAGUGGAGAAGCCCCUUCUCUGAGACCACGGGAGGCAGGGCUGUGUGCGCUGCUAAUAGUCAGGAACUUGGGUGAACACGUGGCUUCCAGGGCAGAUGGCGAAUUGCCCUAAGAGCACAGAAGCUUCCCAGAACUAUGAAGCCGGCUCAGGCCAGUGUCGCUGUGGGGCACACCGGCUCCUCCUCACGGCCUCAUCUCCAACACAGACGUACCCUGGGCUCUGGGGGUCAGCAAGCAACUUUCGAAUCG